rnacentral:rRNA from 1 species
GUAGCAGACAACAGGGAUUGCCCCAGUAACGGCGAGUGAAGCGGCAACAGCUCAAAUUUGAAAUCUGGCCUUGCGCCCGAGUUGUAAUUUGUAGAGGAUGUUUUUGGCGCGGUGCCUUCCGAGUUCCCUGGAACGGGACGCCUUAGAGGGUGAGAGCCCCGUACGGUUGGACGCUAAGCCUCUGUAAAACUCCUUCGACGAGUCGAGUAGUUUGGGAAUGCUGCUCAAAAUGGGAGGUAAAUUCCUUCUAAAGCUAAAUACCGGCCAGAGACCGAUAGCGCACAAGUAGAGUGAUCGAAAGAUGAAAAGCACUUUGAAAAGAGGGUUAAACAGCACGUGAAAUUGUUGAAAGGGAAGCGUUUGUGACCAGACUUUUUCCUGGCGGAUCAUCCGGUGUUUUCACCGGUGCACUUCGCCUGGUUUAGGCCAGCAUCGGUUUCCGUAGGGGGAUAAAAGCUUCGGGAAUGUGGCUCCCUCGGGAGUGUUAUAGCCCGUUGCAUAAUACCCUUGUGGGGACCGAGGUUCGCGCUCUGCAAGGAUGCUGGCGUAAUGGUCAUCAACGACCCGUCUUGAAACACGGACCAAGGAGUCGAACAUUUGUGCGAGUGUUUGGGUGUUAAACCCUCACGCGUAAUGAAAGUGAACGGAGGUGAGAGCCCUCGGGUGCAUCAUCGACCGAUCCUGAUGUCUUCGGAUGGAUUUGAGUAAGAGCAUAACUGUUCGGACCCGAAAGAUGGUGAACUAUGCGUGGAUAGGGUGAAGCCAGAGGAAACUCUGGUGGAGGCUCGCAGCGGUUCUGACGUGCAAAUCGAUCGUCAAAUCUGCGCAUGGGGGCGAAAGACUAAUCGAACCAUUGACAAGACCAGCGGUAAACUUGAUUUACUAGGUGGUUAAGAGGUGGCCCGGCAGGGCGCAACACCUAGGCUGGGGAGGGGGUUACCCUGUACCGGCCGACAUCGCUAAAUUGCGGGGACAUCCCUCUAGAAGGCUCCAGGCUACCGCGGCGUGCUGAAAAGCCCGUCCGCACCAAGGCUAGCGCCCUUGGGUAUGGUAAUAACGCCUGCGAGCUGGGACGACCUGCAGCCAACCCCGUCAGCCAGGGGGAGAGUCACUGACUAGACAGCGGUGGGUCAGCGCAGUGCGCUGGCUUAAGACAUAGUCGAUUCGGGGCCCGAAAAGGAGCCCCCCAGCGAGCUUAGCU